rnacentral:rRNA from 1 species
UACAGAGGUCUCAAGCGUUGUUCGGAUUCAUUGGGCGUAAAGGGUGCGUAGGUGGCGCCGUAAGUCGGGUGUGAAAUUUCGGAGCUUAACUCCGAAACUGCAUUCGAUACUGCGGUGCUUGAGGACUGGAGAGGAGACUGGAAUUCAUGGUGUAGCAGUGAAAUGCGUAGAGAUCAUGAGGAAGACCAGUGGCGAAGGCGGGUCUCUGGACAGUUCCUGACACUGAGGCACGAAGGCCAGGGAAGCAAACGGG